GGUGAAGCUAGUGUAAUGGCAACAUACGGCAUUGUGAAUGCUGAGACACGAGUUCAAUUCUCGUCUUCUCCC
rnacentral:tRNA from 1 species